rnacentral:tRNA from 1 species
GCCCCGGCGGCGGAACUGGUAGACGCACUACCUUGAGGUGGGAGCGAGCUCGGGCGUCGGGGUUCGAGUCCCCUCUUGGGCGCCA